UGCGGUAUCUCUAUCGUCACUUUGUUCAACGAACGCAUAUACCGUACUGUGGCCAUGGCAGGAAUUCACGAAUAAAAAAUUGCAUGGUGGCCAUCCUUCUACGUAAGGCACCAUUUUUCAUGCAUUUUUUGUGCACAGAGAUUAACGCUUCGGGGGUUCCACUCCGCCUCGGGUGACCUAUCCACAAUGACCGUUAGUUGUGUUAUAACGGGCUGGAAGUAGUUGGAAUGUAUGGC
rnacentral:lncRNA from 1 species